CCCUUAGAUGUUCUGGGCCGCACACGCGCUACACUGAAGGAGGCAGCGUGUACUCCUGGAUCGAAAGAUUUGGGUAACCCGCGAAUCUCCUUCGUGCUAGGGAUUGAGGUUUGCAAUUAUCCUUCAUGAACGAGGAAUUCCCAGUAAGUGCAAGUCAUAAGCUUGCGCUGACUACGUCCCUGCCCUUUGUACACACCGCCCGUCGCUACUACCGAUUGAAUGAUUUAGUGAGGACUUCGGACUGGGACCGAUGCGGCUUUCGGGCUGCGUCGGUAUUUUGGAAAGAUGUCCAAACUGUAUCAUUUAGAGGAAGUAAAANUCGUANCA
rnacentral:rRNA from 1 species